CUACUACUCGGGAGGUGCCUACUACUACGUGCAGCCCGCUGACGACGACCAGGAGUAGUUUAGGAGGACCCCAGGCAGGAGGCAUGCGCCUCUUUCGAUUUGUAUCCCGGUUUGUGCUAGCCUUCUUAAGGCAAACUUGUUUAACUUAUGUCUGUACUCAGAUAUUGUUGCUUCCGCUGACUCGUCUAUGAUCGAGCUUUUGUAUUCGAGCCUUCGAGGCCCCUGGCUUGUAAUAUGAUGCUUGUAUGACUUAUUUUAUUUGUAGAGUUGUGUUGUGAUAUCUUCCCGUGAGUCCCUGAUCUUGAUCGUACACGUUUGCGUGUAAGAUUAGUGUACGAUUGAAUCGGGGGCGUCACAAGUUGGUAUCAGAGCCGACUGCCUGUAGGAAUCCCCCUUCCACACUCUUUGGCCGAAGUUGAGUCUAGUCAUUGCAAAACUUUUACUAACAUGACUGUGCGGCUUACGGGCCCACGUCGCCAUUGGGUGGUAGUAGGAUCUUUUAUUCCUUGACCUAUACUCUGGGACUCUGACAUCUCUUCUAUUCGGGUUAAAUGAAUUUACUAAAACUCUAACAUUAGGUUCUCGUAAUUACUUUCUCCCGGAGAGCCUCUUCAGUCCAGAUGAUCGCUGGCUGCACCAGAAUAUUUUGAAGAUACUCUCCGAUGUUUCCCUGAGACCCUUGUGCCCUUCGCCGUUGCACUUCCAUACCACCGACAAAUCCCUAUGGAAGGCUACAUACACUUGUCGUCCAUAACUUCAUUUCCAGUUGUUGUUGUUAUUACAAUAUACACUGAAAUACUUUGGAUAUUCCGAGGAUCCUUUGUGUCUACUGUCUUGCGGCUCCUUUUCCUCAUGAAUACAUGUAUGAAUAAUUCCUCGCAUUUGCCGGGGAUUCGUUCAUCUCCAGUUGUUCAGGUAUUUCGCAAAAUUCUUCGAAAUGCCAUUCGAUCUUCCAAAAUCCUCAGUAGCCUAUUGCUCUUGAUCUUCUUUACCUGCUUGCAUAAUGGUUAAUUCCAUAUGUCAAGCAAUAUUCGUUAAAAUCCUUGUGAUGAACAUUCUGACCAUAUUGAUUCAGCAUGUGUGUGAAUGCACGCAAUCAUCAGUUGAUCCUUAUAAAUUAUCUUUUCGGCUCGGAUGUCUUCCCAAACAUGAGCUGGUUUCGACCAUUCAAAUAGUUGUUGAUUGUACCCCUAAAGCGACUCAACUUAUCCAACCCUAAUCAGAGUGUUGCUUCAGAUCCCUUGAUUUAAAAAUCAUAAUUCCGUUGCAUUUGAGCUUAAAUUAGUCAGUUGUUUCUAUGGUCUGAUCUUCUUACCUUUUUCUUCCUCUGGUUGAGUACCGAUGCUCACAUUAGAUCCCUUGUGGACCACCAGAUCCUUUGUUGGAUUUUAUUCGACACCGUCCUUCAUAUUCAUUAAACAUUGUGAGCUUUUCUUCGGAUACAUAAUGCCUUUGGUAAAUUGUAUCCUCUGCUUUGUGAACCAUGCUCUACUUUCGAACUUGUAUUACUUACUCCGAAGUUUGUGGUAUAUUUUCCUAAGAUGCCCUGAUGGGUUGAACCUACGCCUUCCCUAAUCCAUGUGAACCGGAAAGAUUUCACAGGUCAUACUUAUCUGGUAUUGCACCAGGUAAAACUUUCAACAACUAAUGUCAUUUUCAAAAGGCGAGAAGUGAAUGGAAGGUUAUACAUUGAAGAAGUGGGAGUCGACCUUGAACCUUGUGUUCAUGCCCAUGGAAAUGAUGUAGAUCUUAUCAUUGAAGCUUCUCUUACAUUAAUUAUCCCCUUGGUAUAAGUUCAUCUCAUAUAUGGGAUCUGGCCUUUUGCAAUCGUGGUUCCGACCAUGUUCUCCUUUAAAUACCAUUUCGUGUGCAAGUUUAAGCGCCUGUCUUCUGUAGAGCAAUACCCCAGUCCAACCUCUACUUUGAUCUGUCAUCGAGUAUUACCCCCUCUGGUAUCUCAAGAUUAUCACGGAACUGCAUAACUUCUUAUGAGUCCUUCUUCAAGUAUUAUUUGACUUUUGCUGCACCAUCAUUUGACUUGAUGUCAUAGCCGACCGAUUACAUCUUCAUGAAAUCUCUCAACAAUUGUGUCGUGAUCAUCAUCAAUCUUAUGAGCUCUUCUAGGAUAUCAAUCGAAUUCAUGAUGAGAAAUACCAUCCUUGCCCCUCGAUGAAUUGUGUUAUCAUCGACAACUUUAUUGCCUUCCCUCCAACACAAACUUGUUCGUGUUCUGUGCUAUACCUUGAGUUCCUUGCUAUCCAACAUUUGGUCUUCUUUACCUUGGAGUAUUACCAUCUUUUAUAUCAAGGAUGUCGUGCUUAGCACACCCGGCCGGAGGCCCUAUGGUUAUAGAUUCCUUUUCAGCAAGGUUAUCCAUUCUUCCAUGAGGAAAUUGUAAGACUUAUUCUACAAGUUAUUCCUGAUGGAUCCUUUGUGUUUCCAAAGUCUGACCUUUGCCUGAAGACCAUGUCCAUGCUAUCUCGAAGCAUAUAUAUGGUACUCCUAUUUUCAACAAGAACAUUUAAAGCCUAAUGUUAAAUGUUUCCUGCUCAAUUAUCCAAACACCGAUGUAUGGGUAAUGUCUUUAAAGUUCUCUCCCUUUCCUAAAUGGUUUUCUACCUUCUAUCCUGUCAUGGAUAUCAUCUGCUUGUCCUUGGGAAGGAUAUACCCUUAAAAUAUGUGUUUAAACACAUGUUCUUUUCCAUUGUUCUGUUAAUCUGAUGAUCACAUUUUCCUUUCCAUUGUUUUGUUUAACCUUUCUGGUGAUCUAUAUGAUCUAAGCAGUAAUGUUCUUCUGCUUAUGUAAACACCUUGGUGUACAACCGUGUCAGUAAGACCCUGUUGCUUUUGUUGAUAGCAUUCCGGUAACCACCGAUGGACGAGAACUUUGCCUAUUGGUCCGCCUCGUUCAACGAGCAGGAAAAUGGUUCUCUUCGUCCCUCGCCCUUGGUACCGAUGUUAUUGUUGACAUAAAUGACAGGCUAUCCUCUGACAUGCCUUGUUAUCAUGACUGUGCAAAAUAUCACUGCCCUUUCUACUUUUAACCCACAUGAUGGGCCCAUAACCCACAAUUCCACAUGAUCGAAACCUGACUCUCCUGUACACCCCUUGUUCCCAAGGUUGUUCCUCGUGCGUGGCCUCGUAUGUAAUCCAUGAGCCACCUUCCGAGAGAUCAUCAAUUCUGGCAUCAGACACAAUACUUAUUCCCAUUGCUCUGAACCCCUUUAACACUUUGUUUUGGGCAACGAACGAUUGCCUAUGUGCUUGAAACUUCUAUUUUGCCCCUUCUUAUUUUGCUCUCGAAAAUUUCUUAAGUUUCAAUUCGAGAGUUACUUUCCCCCACUUUCCCUGAGGUCAUCUACCAGAUAAGCAACCUUGUAGAGGUUGGUCCUUUCGAAGCUACCCCUUAUAAUUUUCGUACAUACGAUGGCGAUCCUAAAGAAGGGAUGCCGGCUUCAUCAUGAUGACUGAAGCAUAGGAAUGAAGACACCAAUGUUACGGAUCGACCUCUUCGAGAAGAGCAACAAAGAUCAAGAAGCAUCAUUAGGAUUUCGUAACAUAUUCUUCCCCCUUACUCCUCUCUUAAAUCUCGGGACGAGAUUUCUUAUAGUGGAGGAGAAUUGUGACGCCCGGAUAAUUAAGCUACAGUAACUCCACGCUAAUGAUGCCAAGGCAUCAUCAUUAUAAAAAAAAUCAAUCAAGAAAUAUUUCAAACUCAAUUCAAAUUCAAGUUUCAAGAUAAGUUUUCAUUUCUUAAAACUGUCAAACAGAAAUGUUCGCUGGGUUGCAAAUAUUCACUAUUUAGUUUCAUGCAUAAACAUACAUUAUUUGAGUUAAUAAAUCGCCUCCAACCUAUUAAAAACUGGACCAAAACAAUCCCAUUUAACCUAUUUACUUUUAAGCAAAAUUCAAGUGAGUUCAACUAAGCUCCAAACUUUUUAUGGCAAGGCCAAAUAUUGCAUUGCAUUUAUUGGCCAAGUUCCAUUAUCUGCAAAAGUCAUUUGAUGGUUUAUUUAAAUACAAAAACUGUUUCUGUAAAAGAAAAGGUAGAAAAACAAGAAAAUAGAAGAAGGCCUAAAACUACUUUGCCGCUGGGCCUAGCCCAACAGGCCGAUCCAGCCAGCCCAACCCCCACCCCAGUUGAUCGCCCUGUUCCCCCGACUAGUCGCUACAGGGGCGAGCCCCGCCGGACCAGCUCGUCGGCAUGGGGAAGGGGAUAAGGACUGCCCCGCCUCCUCGGUCCUCGCCCCCUGCUCCACUCCCCCACUUCCCCAGAUCCGCCUUCCCUUCUCGUUCCUCGCUCCUCCUUCCUCCCUUCCGCUCGGGACUCACCUUGCCGGGCGUGUCCGUCACCGGCCACCUCGCCUGGUCGCGCCCACCAAGGUCCCCAGCGCUUGAGGAUGUGUCGAGCAGCCACGUAGUCAUCGACUACGUCGGUUACAUGGACGGGAUCCACCCUGGAGCGCCUGCAUCGCCGCCACGCCUCGUCUUCUUCUUCCUCGGCUCCGACGCACUCCGCGACGGUUCGGAGCCAGCGAGCCUUCCCCGAGCUUCCUUUUGCACACCUACAGGCUCCCGGUGAGCCGCGCGUCCCCUCCUCCCGUUCUCCUCUACUCCCGUUGACGAACACCCCCCGUAGCCACCGUCCCCGAGCACACCCGAGCUCUCCCGUACGUGUACGCGUACACAUACGUGUGUGCCGCGCUGCUGGUCCUUGCUGAUGCUGCUUUGCACCUGCUGCCGUCUCCGGCUACUGUCGCGCUAUGCCGCCCCUGCCCAUGCUCGGCUCGCCCCGCACGCGCGCCCACUGGUCGUUGCCUGCCGCUCGCCUUGCGCCCACGCGCGCACCCGCUCCGCCUGCUAUAGUCGCGCUCACCAUAAUUGCAGCCAUGUCGCGCGCGCUCCGUCACUGCGUGCACCACGCCGGCCAUGCCCGCUUUCGCCUGAACGCGCCCGCCUCUGCACGGCCUCGCCGGGUCCGUGCGUCGCCCGCUGCGCUGCAGCCGCCGCCGCCUACUGCGCUCGCUAGCACCGCGCAGCACCACUGCUUGCCCGAAGCUGCAGCUGCUCAUGCCCGUCCCUGGCCACACGGGCGGUUGACUGCGCCAUGGCCGGGCCGGCUUCGCCGGUAGCUACUCUGUUGCCGCUGCCUGCUGCUAUGCAGCACUGCUACAGUAACAUUCAGUUACUGUAGCAGUAGCUAGCUUUACUGACUUUACGCUGACUAGCUCUCUAAACAGCCCCUAAACAGCAUUAAGACAAGUCCUAAGAUGGGUAAAAAUUAUAUGAACGAAAAGUAGACAUAACAAGCUUCAUUUUGUUCCAUUGGACCUGUUUCAGAUAAUGCAUGGAUUAAAUCCUACAAAAAAUCACAAAAUGCUAUCUUGUGUUAAAAGGAAUAGAGUUACUCCCUGGCAUAGUGUGUGUACGUGAGUGUGUAGUGUGUAGGCACCACAGCCGUGUGUGGCCGGCUAUGCCACACCCUGGCCAGCUUUUUAGUUAGUUUAUAAUUAGUAGUACUAGCUAAUUUAUCCAAUAGUAGAUGACAUGUGGACCCACUAAUGGUUUAGAGAAAAACAAAUUUAAAAUAAUUGUCUAAGUGAACGACAUGUGGCCCCGUACACUGUUCAUAUGUUGACUAGUUAAUCUUUGACUGGGUCAACCCAACCCCUGGCCCCACUGUCAUACACUAUGCUAGAAUAGCACUAGGAGACAAAAUUAUUUUACUGUGUAAUUUCUAAAUAUAAGUAAAUUCAAAAAAAAUAUAAAUUAAUCCAUAACUCGGUUGAAAAUACUUUGUACAUGAAAGUUGCUCAGAACGACGAGAAGAAUCCGGAUACGCAGCCCGUUCGUCCGCCACGCAUCCCUAGCAUAGUGAACACACAACUUUCCCCCUCCGGUUCAUCUGUCCGAAAACGCGAAACGCCGGGAAUACUUUUCCGGAUGUUUCCCCCCUUCACCGGUACCACCUCGUACCGCGUUAGGGCACACCUAGCCUAACGCUUUGUCAUGUCAUGCAUCGUCAUGCAUUUGUUUGUGUUAUAAUUAUUGUUUCUUCCCCCUCUUCUCUCGCUAGACACCGAGACAGAUGUCGCUGCUACCCAGUACGACUACGGUGUUGACGACCCCUCUCUCUUGCCAGAGCAACCAGGCAAGCCCCCCCCCUUGAUCACCAGAUAUCGCCUAUUCUUCUCUAUACUGCUUGCAUUAGAGUAGUGUAGCAUGUUACUGCUUUUAGUUAAUCCUAUACUGCUGCAUAGCCUGCCCUUGCUACCACUGUUGUUACCUUUACCUGCUAUCCUACUGCUUAGUAUAGGAUGCUAGUGUUCCAUCAGUGGCCCUACACUCUUGUCCGUCUGCCAUGCUAUACUACUGGGCCGUGAUCACUUCGGGAGGUGAUCACGGGCAUAUACUAUAUACUUUACACUGUUACAUUACCGGUGAUACUGUUUGGAGAUGGGGGCUGAAGGGGCAGGUGGCUCCAUCCAGGUAGUGGUGGGCCUGAGUUCCCGACGGCUCCCGACUGUUACUUUGUGGCGGAGCGGCAGGGCAGGUUGAGACCACCUAGGAGAGAGGUGGGCCUGGCCCUGGUCGACGUUCGCGAAUACUUAAACACGCUUAACGAGAUCUUGGUAUUUGAUCUGAGUCUGGCCACUGGCUUAUACGCACUAAUCAUCUACGCGGGGACAGUUAUGGGCACUCGACGUCGUGGUAUCAGCCGAAGCCUUCGUGACGUCAGCGACUGAGUGGCGCGCGCCGGAUUGGACCGUAAGCCUGCUCUUGUAUUAAGGGGGCUAGUUCUGCUUCCAGCCGCGUUCGUAAUGUGCAGGUGUGCAAAGGGCGAUGGGCCCAGACCCCUGCGCCAUAGGAAUUAGACCGGCGUGCUGACCUCUCUGUUGUGUCUAGGUAGGGCUGCGACGUAUUGAUCUUCCGAGGCCGGGCAUGACCCAGGAAAGUGUGUCCGGCCAAAUGGGAUCGAGCGUGUUGGGUUAUGUGGUGCACCCCUCCAGGGAAGUUAAUCUAUUCGAAUAGCCGUGAUCUUCGGUAACAGGACGACUUGGAGUUGUACCUUGACCUUAUGACAACUAGAACCGGAUACUUAAUAAAAUACACCCUUCAAAGUGCCAGAUACAACCGGUGGUCGCUCUCUCACAGGGCGACGAGGGGAGGAUCAUCGGUUAGGAUUAUGCUAUGCGAUGCUACUUGGAGGACUUCAGUCUACUCUCUUCUACAUGCUGCAAGACGGAGGCUGCCAGAAGCGUAGUCUUCGACAUGACUAGCUAUCCCCCUCUUAUUCCGGCAUUCUGCAGUUUAGUCCUCAUAUGAUACCCUUAUUCCAUUUGAUACCAAUGCAUACAUAUGUAAUGUAGCUCCUUGCUUGCGAGUACUUUGGAUGAGUACUCACGGUUGCUUUGCUCCCUCUUUUCCCACUUUCUAUACCCGAUUGCUGCGAACAGACGUUGGAGUCCAGGAGCCAGACGCCACCAUUGAUGAUGACUCCUACUACUCGGGAGGUGCCUACUACUACGUGCAGCCCGCUGACGACGACCAGGAGUAGUUUAGGAGGACCCCAGGCAGGAGGCAUGCGCCUCUUUCGAUUUGUAUCCCGGUUUGUGCUAGCCUUCUUAAGGCAAACUUGUUUAACUUAUGUCUGUACUCAGAUAUUGUUGCUUCCGCUGAUUCGUCUAUGAUCGAGCUCUUGUAUUCGAGCCUUCGAGGCCCCUGGCUUGUAAUAUGAUGCUUGUAUGACUUAUUUUAUUUGUAGAGUUGUGUUGUGAUA
rnacentral:lncRNA from 1 species